rnacentral:rRNA from 1 species
AGGAUAAACGCUGGCGGCGUGCCUAACACAUGCAAGUCGAACGUCCUACGCAAGUAGGGAGUGGCGGACGGGUGAGUAACACGUGGGCAAUCUACCUUUCGGUGAGGAAUACCGGCGAGAAAUCGCCGACAAUACCGCAUACGCUUCGCAAGAAGCAAAGUCGCAAGACGCCGGAGGAGGGGCCUGCGCCCGAUUAGCUGGUUGGUGGAGUAAUGGUCUACCAAGGCGACGAUCGGUAGCUGGUCUGAGAGGAUGAUCAGCCACACUGGGAUUGAGAACGGCCCAGACUCCUACGGGGGGCAGCAGUGAGGAAUUUUGCGCAAUGGGGGAAACCCUGACGCAGCAACGCCGCGUGGAGGAUGAAGUCCCUUGGGACGUAAACUCCUUUCGAUCGGGACGAUUAUGACGGUACCGGAAGAAGAAGCCCGGCUAACUUCGUGCCAGCAGCCGC